UACAUGUGGGGCAAGCGUUGUUCGGAAUUACUGGGCAUAAAGGGUGCGUAGGUGGCUUGUUAAGUCAAAGGUGAAAUCCCUCGGCUCAACUGAGGAACUGCCUUUGAAACUGUCGGGCUUGAGGCCGGGAGAGGGUAGUGGAAUUCCCAGUGUAGCGGUGAAAUGCGUAGAUAUUGGGAGGAACACCAGUGGCGAAGGCGGCUACCUGGACCGGUUCUGACGCUGAGGCGCGAAAGCGUGGGUAGCAAACAGG
rnacentral:rRNA from 1 species